AUUGAACGCUGGCGGCAGGCCUAACACAUGCAAGUCGAACGAGUGGCGGACGGGUGAGUAAUGUCUGGGAAACUGCCUGAUGGAGGGGGAUAACUACUGGAAACGGUAGCUAAUACCGCAUACCAUCGGAUGUGCCCAGAGGGGAGUAGCUUGUAGUGGGGGUAACGGCUCACCUAGGCGACGAUCCCUAGCUGGGCUGAGAGGAUGACCAGCCACACGGGAACUGAGACACGGUCCAGACUCCGACGGGAGGCAGCAGUGGGGAAUAGGGCACAAUGGGCGAAAGCCUGAUGCAGCCAGGCCGCGUGUGUGAAGAAGGCCUUCGGGUUGUAAAGUACUUUCAGCUGGGAGGCGUUACCCGCAGAAGAAGCACCGGCUAACUCCGUGCCAGCCGCCGCGGUAAUAC
rnacentral:rRNA from 1 species